CUCAGUUCGGAUUGAAGGCUGAAAUUGCCUUCAUGAAGCUGGAAUUGCUAGUAAUGGCAGGUCAGCAUACUGCCGUGAAUACGUUCCCGGGCCUUGUACACACCGCCCGUCACACCAUGAGAGUUGGAAAUACCCGAAGCCUGUGAGCUAACUUUUAGAGGCAGCAGUCGAAGGUAGAGCCGAUGAUUGGGGUGAAGUCGUAACAAGGUAUC
rnacentral:rRNA from 1 species